UCACGACAAAUCUUAGAUGAUUCGUUGCUGUAUGAGUUUGAAGCUUUCUCAAAUGUAUUGGAGAAUCGUUAACAAAAACAACAAAACUUAAAGACAAGUAGAUAAGUUUACGUUACGAAAGAAAACAAGUGCGGAAAAAUGGCAAAAAUAUAAAAUAGUUCUUAAUUAUUGAACAGUUAUUUAUAGAGUUCAACGUCCUUGACAGAUGGCCUUUAUUAGCUAUCUCUCAUGGCUCAAAGCUUCUUUGUUUCUUCUCGGGCAUUAUUUUUUGCGCGACUUGCAUUUAUCAAAUUUGUUUCCUUGCUGUUUUUUCAGAAUCCACUCAUGGAUUAUUAGAUAUAUAGAAUAUGCUUUAGCAUAGCAACUUUGCAUUAAGAAAAAUAAAUAUUUAUUCAAG